rfam:Schistosoma curassoni strain Dakar, Senegal genome assembly, scaffold: SCTD_scaffold0002494
AUCUAGCUGAUGAGUCCAAAAUAAGACGAUACUCUCAUCCUGGAU